rnacentral:rRNA from 1 species
UGACGAGCGGCGGACNGGUGAGUAAUGCCUGGGAAUAUGCCUUGAUGUGGGGGAUAACUAUUGGAAACGAUAGCUAAUACCGCAUAAUGCCUACGGGCCAAAGAGGGGGAUCUUCGGACCUCUCGCGUCAAGAUUAGCCCAGGUGGGAUUAGCUAGUUGGUGAGGUAAUGGCUCACCAAGGCGACGAUCCCUANCUGGUCUGAGAGGAUGAUCNGNCACACUGGAACUGAGACACGGUCCAGACUCCUACGGGAGGCAGCAGUGGGGAAUAUUGCACAAUGGGCGCAAGCCUGAUGCAGCCAUGCCGCGUGUGUGAAGAAGGCCUUCGGGUUGUAAAGCACUUUCAGUCGUGAGGAAGGUAGUUGCGUUAAUAGCGUAAUUAUUUGACGUUAGCGACAGAAGAAGCACCGGCUAACUCCGUGCCAGCAGCCGCGGUAAUACGGAGGGUGCGAGCGUUAAUCGGAAUUACUGGGCGUAAAGCGCAUGCAGGUGGUUCGUUAANUCANAUGUGAAAGCCCGGGGCUCAACCUCNGAAUUGCAUUUGAAACUGGCGGACUANANUACUGUANAGGGGGGUANAAUUUCA